AGGGGGUUUGAUCCUGGCUCAGAGUGAACGCUGGCGGCGUGGAUUAGGCAUGCAAGUCGAACGAUUCUCUCACGAGAAUAGUGGCAAACGGGUGAGUAACACGUAGAUAAUUUUCCUCAAAAUCGAACAUAGCUUCGUGAAAACGAAGGUAAUAUUCGAUGUGGUCCGGUAACCUAGGUUACCGUGAUUAAAGGCAGGGACCUUCGGGCCUGCUGUUUUGAGAUGAGUCUGCGUCCUAUCAGCUUGUUGGUGGGGUAAUGGCCUACCAAGGCAUUUGACGGGUAGCCGGCCUGAGAGGGUGUCCGGCCACACUGGGACUGAGACACUGCCCAGACUCUUACGGGAGGCUGCAGUCGAGAAUCUUUAGCAAUGGACGAAAGUCUGACUAUGCGACGCCGCGUGCAGGAUGAAGGUUUUCGGAUCGUAAACUGCUUUUAUUAGGGAAGAACUUCUUGAAGUUAAUAGCUUUCAAGGCUGACGGUACCUAAAGAAUAAGCUACGGCCAACUCCGUGCCAGCAGCCGCGGUAAUACGGAGGUAGCAAGCGUUACUCGGAAUCAUUUGGGUGUAAAAGGGCAAGUAGGCGGCCUAUUUAAGUGAGGGGUGAAAUCUUCCGACUCAUCGGAAAACUGCCUUUUCAAACCUAAUUAGGGCUUGAGGACGGUAAGAGGGG
rnacentral:rRNA from 1 species